rnacentral:lncRNA from 1 species
AAAUCGAUGUCAACAUUUCCCUCAAAUGCAACGAAGCAGACGUCAACGGAGGUGUAAGCCAAGACUGGCCCAAGGAAGUGAAGCAGGAGGUUUGCCAGAGAGCUACUAACUGGAGAAGGUUAGUGGAAGUAGUGUUGAAAAGCUGCAAGGGAGAAAGGAAAGCAUGGCCCAAACAUUUCUUCCAGUUAAGGUCCUGAGGUUUGUGAAGAGUGUGGCCACCAAAAAGUGUGCAGCAGAAAUAAUGCAUAUAAAAUUGCACGUGGACACAGAGUUUUAAAUGGCUACUUUAGAUGACAGUAAAGUGGACCAGCCAUACUUCUACAACCUUUCCUUCUUCAUUCUGUCACUUCUGCAUGGUUGUGCCACUCAUACGGAGUAGAGGUCCCAAAGGUCCUGUGGGUACUCCACGCAGUCCGCGGGCUGGCCUUCCGUGGCAUUCGGGUCUACCUUCUUUUCUCUUAGGCACAGGUUUACUUACAGUCUUUAUUUACAAAGGACAUCUUAUUGGUUCUCUCCUGGGAAGAACUACCCUUCAUACUCCCGCCGGCGGGAAGCAAGCACUGGCUGCUUUGGCUGUGUCGAGCACAAGUAGGAAGGGAAGGUGACUCACAAGGUACCUGGCCCAUCAAAGAGUUGGAAAAAAACCUCUGAAACACAGAACUCUAGGGUUUUUUAUCUAGUCUUUCUCUAGAUCUGGGAAGUCAGUUAAUAUUUUCCCUUCUUUUCAAAGUCUGUAUGUCAAGGUAACGUCCCCGAAGUACUAUUUACUGCGAACCUUGAAAAUAACCUGAGAACCAAU